AUUUUUUUACUUUCGUCCCUUGUGAUCCAAAUAACCAUUCCUUAACCCCUCAACAGCUAGAAGGAAAAUCUUGUGUGAAUUUGUGAAAUCUUCAACUAAUCGAAAUUAAAGCCAUCUCUCGAUUGUAAUGGUUGAUGGUUUGACAGAAUCGUCUUUCAAUUCUAAGAAUUUCGUGGAACAACACAUGCUUAUCGCAGCAACUCGUUGCGAUCUCUUAGGUUUCAUCACAGCACUGCUGCUAGCAUGAAAACUGAAUUGACAAGUGUCAAAUUUGGAGGCUUUAAUGAUACGAGCUGCCGCUAAGGAUUGUUUGUAUUGUAUGUUUUAACUCAUACAAUGAAAGUAAAGUCAUCUAUCUGCACAGCCUACUCUGAUUUCAUCAGCCUCCUAAUAUUUUGUAUGUUCAUGCUAGAAGCAGAGCUGUGGUUUCAUCCAAAAUAAUUUCCGUUUGGUCUUUUAAUUUACUACAAAAAUUGACUUUUAAUGAUAAGCCGAAAAACGAUUAGAUCAAAAUUGAUUUCAUCAUUCGUUUCAGUGUGCUAUUACCAUUCCAUUGAAAUGGCCGUGCCACGUUUAUUUUUCAUUUUUCUAUAUGUAACAACGGCAACAAUGAGCGUUAGGGCAAAGUCAUUCUAUGAAACUGUACUAACGAGCGCUUACUGCAAAAUAUUGGAUCCCCAUAUCGUGUACAACUACACUUGCAUUCACAAACAUGUCAAUGGAACAAUGAGUGUAGUGACACAGGAUAUUACCUUUCAACCUGGUGUCGUUCUCAAUAACUAUUACGUGAGAAUUCAAUUAAACCGUCAAUUCGGCAAAACGUUUCGACCUUUUAUGAUAAAUGCCGAAGUAGAUUUGUGCGCUCUAUCAAAGAAUAAUUCGAUCCAAUCGCUGAUAACGAAAGUAAUCGAUCUGAAGGACCGGACACAAUACGGCAGUUGGUAUCACCCGUGUCCUGUUUCGGGAAGAAGAUAUGAAAUUGAUGUACCUAUGGAUUCUAAAAAAAUACCUGCUGUGGCCGGGAAUGGAGGUUAUCGAUUAGAUUUGAUCGGUUUCACCUUUGUGGGCGGCGUGAAAAAAGAGUUCCGUUUAACACAUCUAUUCGGAGAGUGUCGUUUAAAAUCAAAAAGAGGCUCCUAGCCUAUUGCUUUUCGAUUUGGAUGCUUUCAGUACUACUGAAUCAGUAGUAAAAGUGUUAAGUGUAGUAGGAUUAACAGUUAAUUAUCCUUUAAUUUAAAUAGAUAAAAAAAAAAUGUUUUUGUGUGUUGUGGCGUUUCUUUUGUGUGUGAAGUCACCGAAGAC